GUGCGGCUACUUUAGCCCUGAGCGUGCUCUGCGGCUGCCUGCGGGUCUCAGCUAGUGUCCGACCCCUCUCUUCGCGGACUCCACGCCGAGCAGCCACCCUGAGCCAAGAGCCGGAAGUCCCGGCAUUGGCGGCCUGGACAGCCUCGCACCGGCCAAUCAAGGAGAACCUCAAGAACAACUUCCUCUAUGACUUCCUCUACGGCGGUGUCGGCCUAACAGCUCCACGGGAGUGUGGACGAGGAGCUGAGCAAAAAAAUUCCAGAAGUGAGAUGAAAUGAACAUCCUGGCGACAUAUCAUCCAGCAGACAAAGACUAUGGUUUAUGAAAAUAGAUGAACCAAGCACUUCUUCCCAUCGUAUUAUAGGUGAUGAUGAAGAUGUAUGUAGUGAUACAGAGACCACUGAAACCAUGGAACGAGAUAUCUUAGCUAAGAAAUUCGCUGCUGCUUGAAGGCUCGGAGCCAAAGUAUAGGGUUCAGGAAUAAGAUAGCAGCAGAGAGGAGGAUAGUGACCUCUCACCUGAAGAACAAGAAAAAAAGCGACAAUUUGAAAUGAAAAGGAAGUUUCACUACAAUGAAGGACUCAAUAUCAUCAAACUAGCUAGACAAUUUCAAAAGACCUAAAUGAUGACGAAGAUGAAGAAAUGUUAGAGACUGUAGAUGGAGAAAGCAUGAAUACGGAAAAAUCAAAUCAAGGAUCUACUGCAAGUGACCAACAGCAAAAGAAAUCACGAAGUUCAUAGAAGAGAUUUGUUCAACGCUGCAAUUGUUAGAUAUAAACCCUGUUACUAUAAUGCAUUGCUUCUUGUUCUCCACAAUUCAUGACUGAAGUACCAAAAUGCAUACCAGUUAUUAUAUAUUGCCAAGAAUUAAAUGAUAACCUUAUAGAGACUGAUAAUGCCUAAAAUAUAUUCUUGUGCAUAGUACUUUACCACAAAUACAGUGUAAUAUCAUCAGUCCAAAACUGCAUUACUUUUGUAAAAAACACUGGUUAAUUUGUAUAAGAUAUCAUAUAACUUUUUAUGCUUUAGAGGUUAAACAAUGUCUUUGGGGGGGAACAUUUAUUGUCAUCACUCUAAAUGUGGUGGUAGCUCUUAUAAAGUUUGUUGUUGUUUUAAUCAAAAGCCAACUGAACAGCAUAUAAAGACUGAUAAAUAUUCAGGCUGAGUAGUAUUUUAACGCUUGUCUUCAACUUGAUUUGUCUGUUUAAUUGAAAAGGGUUGUAAGAGUUACCGUUGCAUUUUCUGGCCUACUACCUUUAAAAUUCCUGUUGUGUUUCUUUGUAUUUACAAGGAAAGGUCUGAACUUUUUCUUGUCAAAACUAGCUUUUUUCCGACAAAUAAAUUAUCAGGUUAAACUUGC
rnacentral:lncRNA from 1 species